AAUAUUGCGCAAUGGGGGGAACCCUGACGCAGCGACGUCGCGUGUGCGAUGAAGGUCUUCGGUUCGUAAAGCUCUGUCGUUGGGGACGAAAGAAUUGAUGCUACCCAUUGAGGACGCCCCGUCUAACUACAUGUCAGCAGCCGCGGUAAUACGUAGGGGGCAAGCGUUGUCCGGAAUUACUGGGCGUAAAGGGUGCGUAGGCGGCAUAUAAAAUCAGGUGGGAAACCCAACGGCUCAACUGUGGGCUUGCACAUGAAACUGGGAUGCUUGAGUACAGGAGAGGAAAGAGGAAUUCCUAGUGUAGUGGUGAAAUGAGUAGAUAGUAGGAAGAACACCAGUGGCGAAGGCGGCUUUCUGGACUGUAACUGACGCUGAGGCACGAAAGCGUGGGAAGCAAACA
rnacentral:rRNA from 1 species